UCCGAUAUGGUGUAGUGGCUAACAUUAUCGCCUCUCACGCAUAGAGAUAUAUCCUAACGUAUUGCGCGAUAGCCCGGGGUUCGAUUCCCCGUGUCGGAA
rfam:Gymnopus luxurians FD-317 M1 unplaced genomic scaffold GYMLTscaffold_29, whole genome shotgun sequence.